CAGGGUUCUUGCUCAGCUUUGCAUGUAGGCUUGUUAAUCAUUUAGGGAGUGUCUGUCCAAAAGAAAGCAAGACAAGCUUGACUAGUCCUAAACUUAUGUAACCUUUGUCCUCCCUCUUCAAGACUGAUGACAUCAAGAUAAGAGAUUACACGGACAUUCAACUACCAAUAUGCACCUAGAUAUCUCCACUCGUUGUCCUAAACUGAUGUUCAUGUUGGAUUUCAGCAAAGCCUCAGCAAAACUGAAACUACUCUAGAAAGAAACAGUCAUCUCAUGGAGACCAGAUUGUCCCUUCAGGCAACAUGGAAUUCUCCAGAGUCACCUUGUAAACAAGAACUGAAAUAAUAAUCAAACUGCAGCCCAACUCAGCAACUCUGUAAAAGCUGUUCUCUUUCUUUCAUUAAUGGGCGGGUGUGAUUCUCUCCAUCAGAACUGUGUCCCUUCAGCUUAAGGAUAAUGAGUUCCUAGUAGCCAGAAAUGACGUUUCAUCCUUUUACCUCCAACAUCUAACACCUCACUGAGACAUAUAGUGGGUGCUUUAUGAGAUGAAUGAAUGAAUGAAUGAAUUUUGUGAUAACCAGACCUUAGCCUCUCCUCUCUUUCCCAGUUACUCACCUAGAGUUCUGCACAGUAUUGUGGAGGCCCUUCCCAAGUUUUGUCCAAGCCCAUUCACCAACCCUUCAAUUUGCAUUCCUUCUUCACCAUGGCUGUGGAAAACACUGAUUUGAGAGGGCAAGAAAAUGGGACAAAGGAGGGAGUGACAGGGUAAUCACAUGAAAAUAAAAAAUUCAUCUCAAAAAUAAUGAAACUGAAACUGGAGAGGAAGGCGAUUUGCCUUCAGCACUUGAUUGAGGUGGGAACCUGUUUUCCUGGCUGCUGGUCCUGGGCCAGGGUGCAACAGGGGACAAAAACCUUACUGGUUCUUUUCCAAAGAGGACAGCAUUGUCAAGGCAAAGGGAUCAUUGGUUGAAAUUUGAAAACUGAUUCCUAAUUUAAACCUAGCCUCUCACUUGGAGAAAUGACUCAGACUAAUUUUGCAGGCAACAUGUUUUCCUUUGAGAUUUCUCAUCCGAUCUGUUCCCUGGUCUCCUAGUUGCGUAAGAGUAAUGAUGAAUUCUGUGACUGAAGCCCAACUUUCCGAGGCCCAAAAUAAUCACUGUCUGUUUGCUACGGGAGAUGAAGAUAUAUAUUAGGAUUUUAACAUUCUUUGAACAUCCACUUUAAAAACAGGAGACAUCCGUGGCAGGUGGGGCUUGCAAAUGAUAUUUCUAAUCAGAUGUUCAUCCAGAAAGUAAUUAACUUUAGGAAAGUGUCUCCCUUGUAAGGCCCCAAGGGCUUCUGAAAAGGCUCCUUCACUCUGAACUCUCGGUGAGCUUGCUUUGUCUCUGCCUCCUCCUGAACCCGAAAGGAAAGAUGAGAAGCAAGACUUACGGAGGAGACUGCAGAUCACAUUUUGGUGAUUCAGAGCUGUGGAGCAAGAAGCUCUGCUUCCUUCUGCCUGUCCUUUACCCACUCCUAGCCCAGAUCCCUCAAGGUUGUGUUUUCUCAUGUUUGCACAUUGCUUACAGCUUUGCCAGCCAUUUCAGUUUGAUCUGGCCUUCUGCCUCGGCUUGCUUGCCAUUCCUUUUAGGAACUCUAAGGGAGGAGAAAGUAAGAAUCUGUUUCUGAAGUCAAAGAGAUGUGAGUUGAAGCCCUGGGUCUGUGGCUUCCUAGCUGCUUACCUGUGGGCAGUUGCAACCUCUUUCCCAGUCUCAUUUUCUCACCUUGCACCUGAAUUGCUAGAGGUCUGUUUCGGUGAUUCACUGAGUCACAGCUUAGUGCCUACUUCCUAGCAUUUCUCAGCAGAUUAUUUCCAUUAUGUCCUAUCUCCGUCCAAUCUCUUUCUGGCAAAACCAAUUUUGGAUAUAAUUUGGCUUGUGUAUUAGCUUCCUAGUGCUGCUGUAACACAGCACCACAACAUGGGUGUCUCCAUCUAACAGUUCUUGAGGCUAGAAGCCCUCUACUAAGGUGCAGAUGGAAUCAUACUCCCUUUGAAACCUGUAAAAAAAUUUCCUCCUUGCCUCUUUCUAGCUUCUAGUGGUUUGCCAGGAUUCUUUGGCAUUAGUUGGCUUGCAGCUGUAUAAUGUGUGUAUAAUGUGUAUAAUGUGGGUAUAUCUGUGAUGUAAUUCCCAUCACAGCCCUCUUGGUUACAUGGAGUUUUCUCUACUUUUAGACAGACACUGCUGUAGGGGUGUCUAUCCUACGCUGCUUUGACCUCAUCUGAAAUAACUGCAUGUGCAGUGACCCUAUUUCCCCAUAAAUUUAGGACCUCAACAUAUAUUUUUAUUCAGAUAGCACAAUGCAAAGUACAACAAGUAGAUACUGAAUCACAUACUAAAAUAUUCUAGUCUAGUUAGCCAUGCUGUAAUGUAGACUUUUCACUGAUUAAAUUUCAAUGUUAGAAUCACCGUUCAGGAACUAAAAGGAACCAUAAUUUCUUUUACUUCUCUUUUCCUUCACCAGUACUGCAUCUUCAUUUUAAUUCUCCAAGUAUGAUUUUCACAAUCUCCAGUGCACUCUUCAAAUAGCAGCCAGAUUUCUCUUCCUGCCAUCCACAUUUUCAGGACAGUCAUCUGUCCAAAUCUGACACCUUGCUCUUCGUAGGACAACAGUUGAACUCCUCACCUUCAUGCAAUUAUCCUGCACUACCUGACUCCUACUUGUUUCUGAGGUGACUGUCCUAGUUUGUUGCAGAAUGCUUAGGUUUUAGUAUGAC
ensembl:lncRNA